ACGGGACGACGGUGCAUCCACUUUAAGAGCAAAGUUCACUCUUACCUUUGAAAAAACAUACGGCGUGACGUGAUCAAAGAUGACAUUUUGACGCUGGUGACAAUUUUGGUGAAAUUUCGCUGGUGAAAACAACUCAUAACCAAAUUGGCAAGGAUCCGACCGUUAGUGGAGUGGUUAACUUCGUCAUUCCGUCUUGGGGGUUGAUGUCGUAAAACAUGAGUAUCAUGGCACCCGGAUUCAGACCAACAGGGUAAGGGAUAUCACACACACACACACACACACACACACACACACACACACACACACACACACACACACACACACACACACACACAGGCACAUCCACACACACACACACACACACACACACACACACAUUCACACACACAUACACACAGGCACACCAACACACACACACACACACAAACACAGGCACAUAUACACACAUGGUAGCUCUCACCUCUCUCUCUCUCUUUCUCUCUCUCUCUCUCUUAUUCACGCCUUACAGAUUUGUCUAAUGAAAAUAUACAAACAGCUACAGAAAUCACUAACUGCAAUGUGUGGAUAGGUGUAAUCAGUAACUGGUCUGUGACUGGUAACUGGUCUGUGUGUGUGUGUGUGUGUGUGUGUGUGUGUGUGUGUGUGUGUGUGUGUGU
rnacentral:lncRNA from 1 species